rnacentral:tRNA from 1 species
GCUCAGUUAGUUGAGCAACCGACUCUUGAUCUCAGCUCAAGUCUUUAUCUCACAGUUGUGAGUUCAAGUCCCACACUGGGCU